GGAGACUUCAGGGCCCAGAGCGUUCCUGUCACCAAAGUCUCCCCUGGCUUCUGCAGAACUUUGGUCAUCUAGGUGAGGGACCACAGGCCAGCCAGCUGUUCCCUCCAGACGUCUCCGGAAACCUCUGAGUCCCUUGGAAGGUAACAAACUCAGACCAAGACUGAACUGGAGGUGUCUUGAUGGUCAAAAGUCUGGAGAGUCAGAGAGGAGAGGAAGGGAUUUGGUCUUUGCCUGUUGGAUGGCCAGGAAAUAACAGCUUUGAAGAGGCUGCUCAAGGUGGCAGCAACCCUCAACCAUAGCAGAAAGGGAGCUGACUGGUGCAUAUUUCAGCUUCCUCCACCUUGAGUGAGGCAAUUCUGAGAUGUGCCGUCCACCUUCUCCCAGAACUCCCCAGUGGAAUUGUGACCCAGGUGCCCAUGGUCACUGCUAGGCUGCUUCUGGAGAAACCCAAAAGUAGACUCUUGUGUGAAGAACAAAGACACACAGCUUUAGCCUGGGGAUGGACACCUCCCAGCAGCCCUGGCUGCCACUCACUGCUGUGCUGCAGCUUGAGCCCUCAGAGGGGAAGAUCUGCUGAAGAGAGGGAGAAGUCCUUGCAGUCCCUUGGCAAAGCAGGUGCUACCUCUGUGGCUCUGGAGAGCAGAGAAUUCACUGAAGGACAUGAGAUGCCCAGUGGCUCCCCCAUGCCAACCUACCCCAAUACUCCCAACUCAAGAGAAAAGAGAUAAGAAUACCGAUGCUCAGAGCAGUCGACUGAACACCUGGAAGUCACACAUACUGAAAGUGGCAAAGCAGGAUCUGCCCCUGCUCUGUCUGAUGCUAACAGGACUGCUGAGGUCUCCCCUUCACCUCACCUCAAGUUGACAUUCAGCCCAUGGAAAUAGACCUCUAAGCCAGCCUUUCUUGCUAGUUUGGUUUUAGCCUCUCCUGGUCCUCAGCUUUGCCAUCUGUGAAAUAUGUGAGUGGUCUAGAUAGUGCCUGAAACCUACCAGCUCCAAGUCUAUGGCCCACGGAUGGGCUGUGAGGAAAAACAAGGCUGAGGCGGGUUUUCACUCCGUUCCUGGAAUAUCUGGUCAUCCUUCCAGGGUUCUUCAUGGCAGGGAAACAAAAUAAACAACUGAACAACAUGAGGUUCAGGAGAUUUAAGUCUGAGUUCCGAUGUUGGCUUUGGGUGCCUCUAACCAACCACAAAUCUAUCCCAAGCCCAAGGCAGGCUUGUCUUACUCAACAUUUAUGGGGUCUUGCAGGGCUUAUGAGUGAGCUCAUGUGGGUGGGCUGUGGGUACCACAGGACCAGCACAGAUUACUCCAGCACAUUGUCCAGCCACGAGACAGAAUUUCCCUCUUACGGAUCCACUGAAUAGCCCUGGCCUGUGGAUUUGCUGUAAAGAUGCAAAAACCCUGAGGCAUUAUCAGCCAAACCUCAGCCCUGGCCAUAGUUAGGUUGACAACAAGGGAGGCAACAGGAGAGGGAGAGAAAAGGGCCUCUCGUCGUGGAACUGGGGCAGUGGUGGGCAGGGGCUGAAGCAGGAGGGGUGCCAUGGCCCACCUGCUCUUCACCCACGGUCCUUACACAGACCUGAUCCUGCUAAUUCUGACUCAGCUUUCAUACUCAGCCUGCAGACACUCAAUUUUUAGUAAUAAGCAGUCUCCUGAUAAUUUACUAUAGAGAAAAAUAAAUUUUUAAAAGAUAUUAAUAGUUGGCAUCAGAGUCACUUCACUUCAUUUAUUCAUUUUUACAACAAACAUCUAUUGAGCCCCUGGGAUGCGCUUGCGCUCUUUUGGGCUGUGCAGAUGUAACAGUAAAGAUAACAAAGUUCCUGUCCUACUCAAGUUUCCAUUCUGAUGCAGAGAAAGACAAUUACAAAUCAAAAAUAUGUAUAAUAUCAGUUAAGGAUUGGUGCUUGGAAUAAAAUAAAGAAGUAGAGAGGAGGAACUUGGCCAUUUUUGAUAUGAUGGUUCAAGAAGCCUACUGAGGUAACAUGUAGCAGAGAUGUGUUUUAGGAAAUGACUUUGAUCAGCAACAUGAGAUUGGUACUGGAAUAUCGAGGAUAUAAUUAUGUAAGAGACAAUAAAUCAGAAGGUAUUAACACUAAAGAUGGAUUCAUGGUUGAAGGGUGGGGAGAAAAGAGAAAAAAGAGCAAGAUUCAUGACAAAGAAGUCAGACAACUACAAUUCUAAAUUGUUUGUCUUACUAUGAA